rnacentral:misc_RNA from 1 species
AGAAGCUGUUAGUAUUUAUCAGUUAAUACCGCGGUUGCGAGUACUGUUAUAGAUAUUUUUGAGAUACAUCGCACUCUGCUGUCUUCAACGGAGAAGUAAACUCUACGAAUGAACACAGUGGAAUGGAACGCAUGAAAAUCUACCGUUAAAGAAAAGGUGAAAUGCGCAUGCGUGGAUUUCGACGAAGAUAUUAUUUUACGAAUAUUUUUCCGUGGGAAGUAACCACAUGUCGAGUUUUUUUCAUCAUAUAUUGAUCACUUACUCCUCGUCUUCUUCGGGAGUAGGUGACAAAUUAUGAGUAUAUCGAUCGCAUUACGUGCUACCUUAUACUCCGUUUAUAUGAUUAAACAAUUUGCAUGGCGAUUUUCUUUGGUAAAGAAAAAUGAUACAAUUAUAUAUAAUGUUAUAUGAUUAUAUAAUUCGCAAGUGCUCCUAUGCGAGAUGAGGUUUCAAGACAGUCACAAAAUAUUGUGCAGUCAAACGUAACUCAUUAAACUCAGGAUCAUUUGUAUAAUGAGUAUCUCCUUCCAUGAACGGUACUUCAGCUAUAAUAGAAUUAUAUUACUCGCUGUUGGCUUAUGGCCUUAUCAACAAUCAAAGCUUGUUGGAUUUCAGACAGCAUUAUUUCUUAGUAUUUUGACAAGUUUCGUCGUCUUCUUGUUUUCAAGACUGUCUUUUGCGGACUACUCCUUUGAAUUUAAUAUUCAGUUGCUUUGUAUGUCAACAUAUUAUACUUUUCUUAUAAUAAAGCAUCUCUCCUUUUGGAUUAACAUAGAACCUAUACGAUAUUUAUUGGAGCAAUUUCAAUACAUCUACAAGACGCUAAAGAAUUCGAAAGAAAUUGCUAUCUAUGACAAGUAUGCGAUCAUUGCAAAACGAAUAACGAUCGGCCUUACAAUAGUUGCAAUAUACAAUCUGGCUUGUUUUAUUGUAAUGCUUUGUUGGCCAUAUAUUCUUGAUAUAAUAAUGCCCAAAAAUGAGACCUACGUGCAGCGCUUUAUAGUACAUAUGACUAAAGACUUCGCCAUACAAGAAAAAUAUUUCUAUUUAUUUCUUCUGCAUCUAUACGUAGCCAGUGCUGUUGGAGGAGUUUCAUUUUUAGCGACAGGAACAAUGAUGUUAUCAUGUCUCAAACAUAUCUGUGGAAUAUUGAGAAUUGCAAGCUACCGCUUUGACCGAGCAAUACCGGCCACGUUACAAAGUAUUACCUUAAAAAAUGAAACUAUUAUUUACAAGGAGUUAAUCUAUGCCGUAGACAUACAUCGCAAAGCCACGGAGUGUGCUAUAUUUUUUAUGAAUAACAUAGGACGAUCACUUUUCGUUAUUACAAUGAUUACUGUGUUUUGCAUGAGCUUGAAUCUUUAUGGAAUAUUUCAAGUUAAAUCAUCUUUGCAAGAAAUAGAAAAGACAAUGGGACAUCUUCUUUUUGUCAUUUUUCUUUUUAUAUACAUGUUUGCAGGCAACUACGCUGGACAGGAAAUUACGGAUUGUAAUAAUCAUAUAUUUCUUACAGUAUACAAUGCUCCAUGGUACUUAGCACCAUUGCAGAUACAAAAGUUGACCUUGUUUUUAUUACAAAGAAGUAACAAAGCUUUCACAUUGAGUAUCGGUGGAUUAUUCACAUUAUCUAUAGAGAGCUGUGCUUCGCUACUAAGUGCAUCAAUAUCUUAUUUUACUGUUAUGCUAUCUUUCUAAUAAUAACGAAAAUAUAACACAUCCAAUAAUAUCGUAUACUAGAAUAGAGGAAAUAGAUAUUAAUCUGGACGAAAAUGCCGACAGUCUCUAUUGAGCUUAAACAAUUAGGAAGAUGAUAAGAAGAUUGUACAAUCAGAUUAGAUGACACAAUCAGGUCUGAAAUGUUUCUCACGUUAAAAGUAUAAAGUUUAUCAUUUACAUAAAAUUUGCAGAUAACAAGAAAUACAAUAGUGAUUAAUAAGUGAAAUAUUAUAAUAUAUUACUUAUUACUGUAUUUAAAUGUUAUAUAAAAUGUUAUAGAAAUGUUUAUAUA